GACGUAGGGCGCGAGCGUUGUCCGGAUUUAUUGGGCGUAAAGAGCUCGUAGGCGGCUUGUUGCGUCAGCUGUGAAAACCCGCAGCUCAACUGUGGGCUUGCAGCUGAUACGGGCAGGCUUGAGUUCGGUAGGGGAGACUGGAAUUCCUGGUGUAGCGGUGAAAUGCGCAGAUAUCAGGAGGAACACCCAUAGCGAAGGCAGCUUGCUGGGACGUUACUGACGCUAAAGCGCGAAAGCGUGGGGAGCGAACAGG
rnacentral:rRNA from 1 species